rnacentral:lncRNA from 1 species
UGGACAGUUUGGUCUAAACUUUGAGAAUGUGUCUGUUCCUAUAGCAGGGAAUAUAUUCUCUGAUAAAGUCACAGAAAUUGCUUGCGGGGAGCAACACACUUUAUUUCUCACGGUAGAUGGCAGGAUCCUGUCAUGUGGGCGCAACUCAAAGGGACAACUUGGCAGACAGAGGAACAUAAAUUCAAAACUACCAGGUAAGACAUCAAUGAAUGCUAUCGGAAUAUGUAGCCAGAAUUUGCAGAAUAAAUGCAGAUUAUAAUCACAUUCUUAUGUAGGCUAAUUUGAAAAAAGUGCUACUGGAAAAGUACGUUUUGUUUGACUCUGAAUGCGUUUAUUAUUUUUCAUCACUACCCCCAAAUAUUUUUGUGAUAUUGUUCAUAAUGUCAGAUUAUAUAAUGUUUCGUUUCUGCUGCGUUUAACGACAACUUUUAGAAACUGACACCCCUCAAUAAAACUACUGCACAAUAGGCGCUCAUGGUUUGGUUCCAGUUUCGUUUCUCCCAAAGUAGAGAAAUGAAGAAAAAAAAAAUCCAAUAAAAUCCACACUAGGAUCGAACUUGACGUCAUCCUCAAGAUGACUCAGAUAAAUUGACGAUUAACUCCUUCAUGCAUUAAAUUACAUCUUAUCAAUGUUCUAGCAUUUAACCCUUCCCGGGACAAGACAGGACUUCCAAAUAAAACGUUGUCUAAUCAAAUCAAAUUGUAUUUGUCACAUGCACCGAAUACAACAGAUGUAGACCUGUGUGUGUGCCUGUGUUCUACCCGUUUCAGCCCCAGUGGAGGGUCUGGGGGCAGUGGUCUCUGUGUCUUGUGGUCAGGACCACUCUGUUGCUGUGUGCGCGUCAGGACAGGUGUACUCCUGGGGGGCAGGGGGUGAGGGACAGUUGGGCAUCGCACCUACUACUGUCUCCAAAGUCCCCAGGCCAAGACCAGUUCCAAUACCUUCGCCCUUGCCGAUAACAGUGAUACAGGUUGCUUGUGGAAAUUCCCAUUCUUUGGCCCUGACUAAAGGUAUAACGUACUGUACCUACUGAUGRCUCUCACACAGACUACAUUCCAUCUAAACUAUGACAACCACAUGCAUCAGUUAGACUACACUUAGAAAAAAAGGUGCUGUCUUAAACCUAAAAGGGUUAUUCAGCAGUCCCCAUACGAGAACCCGUUGGAGAACCCUUUU